GAUGAACGCUAGCUACAGGCUUAACACAUGCAAGUCGAGGGGCAUCAGUUUGGUUUGCUUGCAAACCAAAGCUGGCGACCGGCGCACGGGUGAGUAACACGUAUCCAACCUGCCUCAUACUCGGGGAUAGCCUUUCGAAAGAAAGAUUAAUAUCCGAUGGUAUAUUAAACCGCAUGGUUUUACUAUUAAAGAAUUUCGGUUAUCGAUGGGGAUGCGUUCCAUUAGUUUGUUGGCGGGGUAACGGCCCACCAAGACUACGAUGGAUAGGGGGUUCUGAGAGGAAGGUCCCCCCACAUUGGAACUGAGACACGGUCCAAACUCCUACGGGAGGCAGCAGUGAGGAAUAUUGGUCAAUGGGACGAGAGUCUGAACCAGCCAAGUAGCGUGAAGGAUGACUGCCCUAUGGGUUGUAAACUUCUUUUA
rnacentral:rRNA from 1 species